rnacentral:rRNA from 1 species
AUCAUUAACUGAAUCCAUAGGUUAAUGAGGCGAACCGGGGGAACUGAAACAUCUAAGUACCCCGAGGAAAAGAAAUCAACCGAGAUUCCCCCAGUAGCGGCGAGCGAACGGGGAGGAGCCCAGAGCCUGAAUCAGCAUGUGUGUUAGUGGAAGCGUCUGGAAAGGCGCGCGAUACAGGGUGACAGCCCCGUACACAAAAGCGCAUGUGCUGUGAGCUCGAUGAGUAGGGCGGGACACGUGGUAUCCUGUCUGAAUAUGGGGGGACCAUCCUCCAAGGCUAAAUACUCCUGACUGACCGAUAGUGAACCAGUACCGUGAGGGAAAGGCGAAAAGAACCCCGGCGAGGGGAGUGAAAAAGAACCUGAAACCGUGUACGUACAAGCAGUGGGAGCACCCUUUGGGGUGUGACUGCGUACCUUUUGUAUAAUGGGUCAGCGACUUAUAUUCUGUAGCAAGGUUAACCGAAUAGGGGAGCCGGAGGGAAACCGAGUCUUAAUUGGGCGUUAAGUUGCAGGGUAUAGACCCGAAACCCGGUGAUCUAGCCAUGGGCAGGUUGAAGGUUGGGUAACACUAACUGGAGGACCGAACCGACUAAUGUUGAAAAAUUAGCGGAUGACCUGUGGCUGGGGGUGAAAGGCCAAUCAAACCGGGAGAUAGCUGGUUCUCCCCGAAAGCUAUUUAGGUAGCGCCUCGUGAAUUCAUCUCCGGGGGUAGAGCACUGUUUCGGCUAGGGGGCCAUCCCGGCUUACCAACCCGAUGCAAACUGCGAAUACCGGAGAAUGUUAUCACGGGAGACACACGGCGGGUGCUAACGUCCGUCGUGAAGAGGGAAACAACCCAGACCGCCAGCUAAGGUCCCAAAGUCAUGGUUAAGUGGGAAACGAUGUGGGAAGGCCCAGACAGCCAGGAUGUUGGCUUAGAAGCAGCCAUCAUUUAAAGAAAGCGUAAUAGCUCACUGGUCGAGUCGGCCUGCGCGGAAGAUGUAACGGGGCUAAACCAUGCACCGAAGCUGCGGCAGCGAACGUAUCACCCAAGACAACUUUGCGGAGUUGACGAUUGACGGAGCGAAGCGACGUCAAAGCGUUCAUUAAAGUCGAGUUGGCUUAGGGAUACGUUCGUUGGGUAGGGGAGCGUUCUGUAAGCCUGUGAAGGUGUGUCGUGAGGCAUGCUGGAGGUAUCAGAAGUGCGAAUGCUGACAUAAGUAACGAUAAAGCGGGU